rnacentral:misc_RNA from 1 species
AGGCCCUUCAAUGAUGCAAAACCUGCAAAAAGCCAAGCAGGGGCCAAUGUUAGCUCCGUCGAGCACAAACCAAGCCUGAAUACUAUCGAUAAAUGCAAAAGGGUACAAACAAAUAUUCAUGGAAACUUCAAGGUCAAUAGUUUGUCAGCCAGAUCCAACAUAUUAACCUACUUUUCAAAAAGAGAUCCAGCAUGUCCAUGUAUUCUUGAUGGAUUGGGAAACUAUGUCCGAACGAGAUUCGUCGCACGGGCAAUCACAAACCGACUCACUAUUCACACGCAGGUAGACCAGCGGAACAACAUGUUUCGCUCACGUCUUACAGUUCACCAGCAGAGCUAAAAUUACCAGCUUCCUAUUCCUAUAGAAUUUUUUACCCAGGUGACGCGGCGGUCUGGU